CAGUAGCCGCGGUAACACGAAGGGGGCUAGCGUUGUUCGGAAUUACUGGGCGUAAAGGGCGCGUAGGCGGCCAUUCAAGUUAGAUGUGAAAGCCCUGGGCUCAACCUAGGAAUUGCAUUUGAUACUGUUUGGCUUGAGUUCGGGAGAGGUGAGUGGAAUUCCCAGUGUAGAGGUGAAAUUCGUAGAUAUUGGGAAGAACACCAGUGGCGAAGGCGGCACACUGAACCGACACUGACGCUGAGGCGCGAAAGCGUGGGGAGCAAACAGGAUUAGAUACCCCGGUAGUCCCUGUCUCUUAUAC
rnacentral:rRNA from 1 species